GGGAAGGUGGCUCAGUGGUAGAGCGCUUGCCUUGCAUGCUCAAGGCCCUGGGUUCCAUUCCUUGCCUUGCAU
rnacentral:tRNA from 1 species